GACGAACGCUGGCGGCGUGCUUAACACAUGCAAGUCGAACGGAAAGGCCCUGCUUUUGUGGGGUGCUCGAGUGGCGAACGGGUGAGUAACACGUGAGUAACCUGCCCUUGACUUUGGGAUAACUUCAGGAAACUGGGGCUAAUACCGGAUAGGAGCUCCUGCUGCAUGGUGGGGGUUGGAAAGUUUCGGCGGUUGGGGAUGGACUCGCGGCUUAUCAGCUUGUUGGUGGGGUAGUGGCUUACCAAGGCUUUGACGGGUAGCCGGCCUGAGAGGGUGACCGGCCACAUUGGGACUGAGAUACGGACCAGACUCCUACGGGAGGCAGCAGUGGGGAAUAUUGCACAAUGGGCGGAAGCCUGAUGCAACAACGCCGCGUGCGGGAUGACGGCCUUCGGGUUGUAAACCGCUUUCGCCUGUGACGAAGCGUGAGUGACGGUAAUGGGUAAAGAAGCACCGGCUAACUACGUG
rnacentral:rRNA from 1 species